UAUUAUGUAUACAAUGAUCUGUCUGCA
rnacentral:piRNA from 1 species